CGCGCACUUGUGUAAAAAGCGAGGACGUGACCGUUUUGGAAGCAUUGUUCUUUUCACUGUUAGUGAGGAGCGGUCAAGGAUGCGUAUUAAGAAAAUAACUAGAAGUGGCCGCAUGAUGUACCUCUCACCAAUGAGAUGCCUGUCAAGGGUAUACGUGGGUCUUUUGAGAUCUUAUUCACUGAUUUGAAGAGUUCAUGCAUCGAGCCAGUAGGCUGUGCACAUGGGUAAAAACUGGCUGCGGCUAAACAGUUACUCUUAGAAGAAAGGAAGCAUUGAGAGUAAGGAACAAAUGCCAAUGAUGACAACCCAAACACUAUGUAUUGUAAAUGAAGUGGACUUCGUGGUUUCUUUAUCCACCAAUAAAUUAAAAGAAAACUUACAGGAAAUGGACACAGCCCUGGAUAAAUGCAACUACUAAGAUUCAACCAAGAAGUAAAAAUCCUGAACACACCAAUACAACUAAUGGAUUUAAUCAGUAAUAAAAAGUCUCUCACCAAGAAACAGCCCAGGACUAAAUAGUUUCACUGCUGAAUUCUACUUAACUCUUAAAGAAGAAUUAAUAUUACCUCUUCUAAAACUAUUCCAAAACACUGAAGCAGAGAGAAUUCUUUCUAACUCAUUCUGUGAGGUCAACAUAACCAUGAUUCCAAAACUAGAUAAAAACACCACCAAAAAAGGAAAACUACAGGCCAACAUCCCUAAUAAACAUACAGGCAAAAAUUCUCAACAAAAUAUUACCAAACUGAAUCCAACAGCAUAUCAAAAAGAUAAUACAUCAUGAUUAAGUGGGAUUUAUCCCAGGGUUGUAAGGAUGUUUCAACAUAUGCAAAUAAGUAAAUGUGAUACAUCACAUCAACCAGAUGAAGGACAAAAAGUAUAUGAUCAUUUCAACAGGUGUGGAAAAACAAUUGAUACAAUUUAACAAUGAUAUAUGAUAAAAGCUCUAAAUAAAUUGGGUUUAGAAGGAAAGUAGCUCAGGGCUAUGAAUGUCACAUAUGACAAACCCACAGCUAACCUAGCAAACGGGGGAAAGCUGAAAGCUUUUCCUAUGAGAACUGGAAGAAGAUAAGAAUCCCCACUGUCACCACUUCUAUUCAACAUAGUACUGGCAGUCCUACCCAGAGAAAGAAAUAAAGGGAAUCCGUGCUAGAAAGAAAGAAGUCAAUUUAUCUCUGUUUGCAGAUGAUAUAAACUUGUGUAUACAAAAACCUAAAGACUCUAUCAAAAACUCUUAGACCUGACAAGAAAUUCAGCAAAGUUUAAGGAUACAAAAUCAACAUAUGAUAAUUGGUACUAUUUCUAUACAUGAACAACAAGCUAGCUGAAAAAGAAUUAUUUUUUCUGAAUCUGGUUCCUGCUGUUGCAUUUCUUGUUAAAGUAUUAUUCAUGCUCUCUUAUUCUACUUAGAUGAUCAUUGUUUACAUUUAUUCAAUUUAUCAUUUCCUUUCUGUUAUUUAGCACUGCUUAUUUAAAAUUAUAAAUUUGAGUCAACUAUUUCACAAGAUAAUAUUCAACUAUAUUUAUUACAGUGCAGAACAUGGAAAGGUUCAGAAUUUUAAAAGGCAUAUGUCUUAAAGGAGCAAAAUUUAAUUAUACUCUGAAUAUUAAGUACAUUUGAGAGAUGUAUCUUCAAGUUUAAAGUUCUUUUUCUGGAUUCUACAUCUGGAAGAAAUAAAAUGCAGAGUUUUAAAAAAUUUCUUUUAAACUAGCUUCUGAAUAUCAUCUCUGAUUUUUAUAAUUUUCGUCAGGUCACAUAUCCUAGAGCCAUUAUUUCAUUUAAUUAGGGGCUUAUUCUUCUCUGCCCCAUGAGGAAAUAAUUUCUACACUUUGAUUCUAGAUCUCAGACAGACAGCAGUGUUUUUGCUUGAGACUUGAUCUGUUCUAACAUUGACAGUUCUCACUUUUUUGACAUUGUCAUCUUCUAAUUUCUCAGUCAAAGGAAAAAGUUCCCAAACCUUGAAUUCGUUGGAGAACUGAAAAGUUAGUUCUUCUUUAAGUAAUACCUUAGAAAUAUAAUAAUUUGAAUUUGUAUAGCUGUCCCUUAGGAUUAUGACUUGUCAAUCAUUUUUUGCUGUGCAACUCUAAAGCACAUAAUUUCUGCAGUGAUAGGAUUAAUUUGCAAUAUCCUGAAAAAUGAAGGUAGUCAGCAUGUGCAUAAAUCACCUUGUUAGUAUUUCAAAUGAUCAAAUUUAUUUUACACAGUGAUGUUAAUCAUUAGCUGAAAAAGAGCUUUUACAUUUUUUUUCUAACAUAGAGGGAAUGAGACCACCAGUUUAAAUAAUUUGAGGCCUUCAAGACCAAUGAAACACAGUUGUUAUUUACGCAAUUCAAGUUACCUGGGUGAAGAUACAAGGUGUUUUGAAAAGGUAGACCCAGAUUCAUUUUUGAAAUUAUAGUCUAUACCUUGUAAUUCACAAUACUUUACAGAUCAUGUGUUAAAUACACACACACACAAACACACAUACACGCACAAGGUUAAACAAAAUUCAAAGCAGGCAGUGCAUCAGGUAAUUAGACUAAUAUGUUGUUUGGAAUUAAAGUCAAAUUCUUUUAAUUGGCACAUCUCAGUGGGAAUAGAAAUACAAACUUGUAAUUAAGUGAUUGGCCUGAUUAUCAAAGCCUCAUUGGCAUGGAUUGUGCACAGAGAGUCACUUUUUUUUUUUUUGGCUUGAGUUUCUCAAACUACUAUAGCAUGCUAUGAGAGAUGCAUAGAAUAGCAUAGAUAGCCAUAAUAGGAAUUUGAUGUUGACUAAAAUGAAUAAAUGUAUAUAGAGUGAAUAAUCUAGGCCAUUCAAAGCUAUUUGACAACCGUAUGUAAGUAAGAAAUAGUGUUUUUAGAAAAAAAGUCUGUUAUUUUAGUAAAAUAAUCUAUUUCCUAUUUAUAAUCAGUUAAAUAUACUAAACUAAAGCCUCUGCCAAUUAAGCAGGCUUGCGUAAUGUUUGUCAUUAUUAGACACACAACAGUUUCAGCUCAGAUUUAUACUCUGGAGUCCAGCCACAUUACUCUGGGGUGUGUGAAUGGAAGUCAGUAAACAAGAAUGAGAAUUUUUCUUCCUUUUAAUCAAAUGUAAAAUCCUACGUAUGUGGGGGGGGGGGGUGUUCAAAAUUUAAAGGGCUGUAAACAAUCAACAAAUCACUAUAGAUGUUUUUAAGGAAUGAUUUAUGUAGUUAUUUAACAACAUGUAAUUGCCAUUUUCUUUCCCUCACCUCUUUCUCUGUGUCCAGAUAGUGGAAACUGGGACUUCAACAAUAAACAAACUGCGGCAUAACAACCACAAACAAUUCAAUGAAGGUCAUUCAAGCACUCUUAAGUAGGAAUUUGUAGUAAAACAGAAAGAGUCAGAGCAGAAGCUUAAAAUGAAUUGUUAAUAACAAUGGGUUCUCAUAAAAUCUUAAAGAAUAUGCUGAAAUAUUUAAGAUAAUAAACUAUGUCAAAUACUUUAGAAAACUUAUUUGCAUUUAAUUCCAUUGCUAUUUAGGAAUUAUUUUUAACUGUUCCUAAUAUGUUGUUUGGAUAUCCUAUUUUAUGUAUAUAUAUA
rnacentral:lncRNA from 10 species